UUGUCUCAAAGAUUAAGCCAUGCAUGUCUCAGUACAAGCCAAAUUAAGGUGAAACCGCGAAAGGCUCAUUAAAUCAGUUAUGGUUCCUUAGAUCGUACCCACAUUUACUUGGAUAACUGUGGUAAUUCUAGAGCUAAUACAUGCAAACAGAGGUCCGACCGGAGACGGAAGGAGCGCUUUUAUUAGAUCAAAACCAAUCGGUGGUGGGUGUUCGCACCCGUCAUCGUACAACUUGGUGACUCUGAAUAACUUUACGCUGAUCGCAUGGUCUCGCACCGGCGACGCAUCUUUCAAAUGUCUGCCUUAUCAACUGUCGAUGGUAGGUUCUGCGCCUACCAUGGUUGUAACGGGUAACGGGGAAUCAGGGUUCGAUUCCGGAGAGGGAGCCUGAGAAACGGCUACCACAUCCAAGGAAGGCAGCAGGCGCGCAAAUUACCCACUCCCGGCACGGGGAGGUAGUGACGAAAAAUAACGAUACGGGACUCUUCCGAGGCCCCGUAAUCGGAAUGAGUACACUCUAAACCCUUUAACGAGGAUCAAUUGGAGGGCAAGUCUGGUGCCAGCAGCCGCGGUAAUUCCAGCUCCAAUAGCGUAUAUUAAAGUUG
rnacentral:rRNA from 1 species